UUUGGUGGUCAUAGCGAGAGCAAAACACCCGGCUCCAUUCCGAACCCGGCCGUUAAGUGCCUUAGCGCCGAUGGUACUGCGUCUUAAGACGUGGGAGAGUAGGUCGCCGCCAAAC
rnacentral:rRNA from 1 species